rnacentral:pre_miRNA from 1 species
AUUGGAAUUGCUGAGUCAAAUGGUAACUCUCUGUUUAACUUUUUGAGGAACUGCCAGACUGUUUUCCAAAGUGGCUGUACCAUUUAAUAUUCCCACCAGCAGU